CCUACGGGUGGCAGCAGUGGGGAAUAUUGCACAAUGGGGGGAACCCUGAUGCAGCGACGCCGCGUGGGUGAAGAAGCGCCUCGGCGCGUAAAGCCCUAUCAGCAGGGAAGAAAAUAACGGUAACUGAAAAAGAAACCCCGGCUAACUACGGGCCAGCAGCCGCGGUAAUACGUAGGGGGCAAGCGUUAUCCGGAUUUACUGGGUGUAAAGGGGGCGCAGACGGCGAAGCAAGCCAGGAGUGAAAGCCCGGGGCCCAACCCCGGGACUGCUCUUGGAACUGCGUAGCUGGAGUGCAGGAGGGGCAGGAGGAAUUCCUGGUGUAGCGGUGAAAUGCGUAGAUAUCAGGAGGAACACCGGUGGCGAAGGCGUCCUGCUGGGCUGCAACUGACGUUGAGGCUCGAAAGCGUGGGGAGCAAACAGGAUUAGAUACCCCAGUAGUC
rnacentral:rRNA from 1 species